rnacentral:rRNA from 1 species
UAAGCGACUAAGCGUACACGGUGGAUGCCCUGGCAGUCAGAGGCGAUGAAGGACGUGCUAAUCUGCGAAAAGCGUCGGUAAGGUGAUAUGAACCGUUAUAACCGGCGAUGUCCGAAUGGGGAAACCCAGUGCAAUUCGUUGCACUAUCGUUUGAUGAAUACAUAGUCAAACGAGGCGAACCGGGGGAACUGAAACAUCUAAGUACCCCGAGGAAAAGAAAUCAACCGAGAUUCCCCCAGUAGCGGCGAGCGAACGGGGAGCAGCCCGGAGUCUGAAUCAGCUUGUGUGUUAGUGGAAGCGUCUGGAAAGUCGCAGGGUACAGGGUGAUACUCCCGUACACUAAAACACACAGGUUGUGAACUCGAAGAGUAGGGCGGGACACGUGGUAUCCUGUCUGAAUAUGGGGGGACCAUCCUCCAAGGCUAAAUACUCCUGACUGACCGAUAGUGAACCAGUACCGUGAGGGAAAGGCGAAAAGAACCCCGGCGAGGGGAGUGAAAAAGAACCUGAAACCGUGUACGUACAAGCAGUAGGAGCCCACUAGUUGGGUGACUGCGUACCUUUUGUAUAAUGGGUCAGCGACUUAUAUUCUGUAGCAAGGUUAACCGUAUAGGGGAGCCGCAGGGAAACCGAGUCUUAACUGGGCGUUAAGUUGCAGGGUAUAGACCCGAAACCCGGUGAUCUAGCCAUGGGCAGGUUGAAGGUUGGGUAACACUAACUGGAGGACCGAACCGACUAAUGUUGAAAAAUUAGCGGAUGACUUGUGGCUGGGGGUGAAAGGCCAAUCAAACCGGGAGAUAGCUGGUUCUCCCCGAAAGCUAUUUAGGUAGCGCCUCGUGAACUCAUCUUCGGGGGUAGAGCACUGUUUCGGCUAGGGGGUCAUCCCGACUUACCAACCCGAUGCAAACUACGAAUACCGAAGAAUGUUAUCACGGGAGACACACGGCGGGUGCUAACGUCCGUCGUGAAGAGGGAAACAACCCAGACCGCCAGCUAAGGUCCCAAAGUCAUGGUUAAGUGGGAAACGAUGUGGGAAGGCCCAGACAGCCAGGAUGUUGGCUUAGAAGCAGCCAUCAUUUAAAGAAAGCGUAAUAGCUCACUGGUCGAGUCGGCCUGCGCGGAAGAUGUAACGGGGCUAAACCAUGCACCGAAGCUGCGGCAGCGACGCUUAUGCGUUGUUGGGUAGGGGAGCGUUCUGUAAGCCGUUGAAGGUGGCCUGUGAGGGUUGCUGGAGGUAUCAGAAGUGCGAAUGCUGACAUAAGUAACGAUAAUGCGGGUGAAAAACCCGCACGCCGGAAGACCAAGGGUUCCUGUCCAACGUUAAUCGGGGCAGGGUGAGUCGACCCCUAAGGCGAGGCCGAAAGGCGUAGUCGAUGGGAAACAGGUUAAUAUUCCUGUACUUGGUGUUACUGCGAAGGGGGGACGGAGAAGGCUAUGUUGGCCGGGCGACGGUUGUCCCGGUUUAAGCAUGUAGGCGGAUGUUCCAGGUAAAUCCGGAACGUCACUAACGCUGAGGUGUGAUGACGAGGCACUACGGUGCUGAAGUGACAAAUGCCCUGCUUCCAGGAAAAGCCUCUAAGCAUCAGGUAACAUCAAAUCGUACCCCAAACCGACACAGGUGGUCAGGUAGAGAAUACCAAGGCGCUUGAGAGAACUCGGGUGAAGGAACUAGGCAAAAUGGUGCCGUAACUUCGGGAGAAGGCACGCUGAUGGUAGGUGAAGUGACUUGCUCAUGGAGCUGAAAUCAGUCGAAGAUACCAGCUGGCUGCAACUGUUUAUUAAAAACACAGCACUGUGCAAACACGAAAGUGGACGUAUACGGUGUGACGCCUGCCCGGUGCCGGAAGGUUAAUUGAUGGGGUUAUCCUCGCGGAGAAGCUCUUGAUCGAAGCCCCGGUAAACGGCGGCCGUAACUAUAACGGUCCUAAGGUAGCGAAAUUCCUUGUCGGGUAAGUUCCGACCUGCACGAAUGGCGUAAUGAUGGCCAGGCUGUCUCCACCCGAGACUCAGUGAAAUUGAACUCGCUGUGAAGAUGCAGUGUACCCGCGGCAAGACGGAAAGACCCCGUGAACCUUUACUAUAGCUUGACACUGAACACUGGUCCUUGAUGUGUAGGAUAGGUGGGAGGCUUUGAAGUGUGGACGCCAGUCUGCAUGGAGCCAUCCUUGAAAUACCACCCUUUAAUGGCUGGUGUUCUAACGUGGGCCCGUGAUCCGGGUUGCGGACAGUGUCUGGUGGGUAGUUUGACUGGGGCGGUCUCCUCCUAAAGAGUAACGGAGGAGCACGAAGGUCAGCUAAUCCUGGUCGGACAUCAGGAGGUUAGUGCAAUGGCAUAAGCUGGCUUGACUGCGAGCGUGACGGCGCGAGCAGGUGCGAAAGCAGGUCAUAGUGAUCCGGUGGUUCUGAAUGGAAGGGCCAUCGCUCAACGGAUAAAAGGUACUCCGGGGAUAACAGGCUGAUACCGCCCAAGAGUUCAUAUCGACGGCGGUGUUUGGCACCUCGAUGUCGGCUCAUCACAUCCUGGGGCUGAAGUAGGUCCCAAGGGUAUGGCUGUUCGCCAUUUAAAGUGGUACGCGAGCUGGGUUUAGAACGUCGUGAGACAGUUCGGUCCCUAUCUGCCGUGGGCGCUGGAGAAUUGAGGGGGGCUGCUCCUAGUACGAGAGGACCGGAGUGGACGCAUCACUGGUGUUCGGGUUGUCAUGCCAAUGGCAUUGCCCGGUAGCUAAAUGCGGAAGAGAUAAGUGCUGAAAGCAUCUAAGCACGAAACUUGCCCCGAGAUGAGUUCUCCCUGACUCCUUGAGAGUCCUGAAGGAACGUUGAAGACGACGACGUUGAUAGGCCGGGUGUGUAAGCGCAGCGAUGCGUUGAGCUAACCGGUACUAAUGAACCGUGAGGCUUAACCU